rnacentral:misc_RNA from 1 species
AACGCACCUUGCGCUUAUCGGUGUUCCGAUGAGCAUGCCUGUUUGAGCGUCAUUAAAUUCUCAACCCCUCUCGAUUUGCUUCGAGAGGGAGCUUGGAUCGUGGAGGCUGCCGGAGACCUGUUUUUCAGGACUCGGGCUCCUCUGAAAUGUAUUGGCUUGCGGUCGACUUUCGACUGUGCAUGACAAGGCCUUUGGCGUGAUAAUGAUCGCCGCUCGCCGAAGUGCACGAACGAAUGGUCUCGUGCCUCUAAUCAGUCGACGCCUUUUCGAAGGCGUCUUCCUUAUUGACGUUUGACCUCAAAUCAGGUAGGACUACCCGCUGAACUUAA